rnacentral:rRNA from 1 species
GACGAACGCUGGCGGCGUGCUUAACACAUGCAAGUCGAACGGAAAGGCCCUUCGGGGUACUCGAGUGGCGAACGGGUGAGUAACACGUGGGUGAUCUGCCCUGCACUUUGGGAUAAGCCUGGGAAACUGGGUCUAAUACCGAAUACACCCUGCUGGUCGCAUGGCCUGGUGGGGGAAAGCUUUUGCGGUGUGGGAUGGGCCCGCGGCCUAUCAGCUUGUUGGUGGGGUGAUGGCCUACCAAGGCGACGACGGGUAGCCGGCCUGAGAGGGUGACCGGCCACACUGGGACUGAGAUACGGCCCAGACUCCUACGGGAGGCAGCAGUGGGGAAUAUUGCACAAUGGGCGCAAGCCUGAUGCAGCGACGCCGCGUGGGGGAUGACGGCCUUCGGGUUGUAAACUCCUUUCGCCAGGGACGAAGCGCAAGUGACGGUACCUGGAGAAGAAGGACCGGCCAACUACG